CUAUGAUUAACUAAUUGGCGGGCUCGAGGAAUAGUUGACGCCAUACCCAAUCGAAAAAGGAUGUUAUCCAAACGCAUUUCAAGUAAUUGUAGUAAAACCUGACCUGUUGACCCUUUGGCUUUUGCGGCGAUACGAACAUAUUUAAGUAAUUGUCGUUCUGUAAGACCAUAAUGAAAACGCAAUUUUUGUUUUUCUUCUAAACGAAUACGAUAUUGAGAUUUUUUACCGGAGCGUGAUUGAUUUCUAAGAUCGCUCCCGACUUUAGGCCUUUUACUAGUUAGUCCCGGCAAAGCCCCCAGACGACGUAUUUUUUUGAAACGAGGCCCUCGGUAAC
rnacentral:misc_RNA from 1 species